UUCAUAAGAGGUAAUCGAAUAAUUGGCCAGGUAAGCAGGUGGGAGGCUCCCCUUACUCAGAGAGUAAGGUCCUAAUUAAGUAACCACCUUUCAUGCUUUCCUAGACACCAAUUAGAUUAAUUAAUCUAAUAUGACUUGCUCAUGUCGGUUCACUCUCGACUUGAUUGAGGAGGUUUUAGUUUAGAUCUCAAUUGGGUUUGCUACAUCACAUGUAAACCUAUCUACCCG
rnacentral:lncRNA from 1 species